ACAUGGGGUUUUCUCUUUCCGUUUGGAGCCCCCCUCCCUCUGUCUCUGUAUGGUGGAGCUUCUUCCUUCUUUCCUGCCUAUUAAACUCUCUACUCUUUAAAACCACUCCACGUGUGUCCAUUUAUCUACAUCAGCGUGAGACCAAGGACCCUGGCGUUCCUACAUUCAUUGAGGCACCUGGAGACAUUGAGUACUGCCAAUGGACUGCUGAACCAAACGAAGAGCUUUUCUGCAACAUUCAUGUUGCAGAGGAGAUGGGAACUGCCACUCAGCUGCUGCCACUCAGCUACUAAAUCUGAAAUAGUUAUUCAGCAAUACAAAAAUGGUAUUGCGGGGUUCUGGGGCAGCCCCUUUGGCUCAAAUGCCAGAGCUUUCUGCUAUACCUACUGAGUUUCAGUAGAUUUUAUUGAAUAAAAGUUUCUCAAUUCAUUACAAGCCCUUCGAUCAAUCUCCAAAGACUUUGUCUAGUUUCAAAUAUGUUUUUCUAGGGGAAAGGAUUUGCCAAGCUCCUCACACUACCAUUCCAGAAGUCCUAACCCUGAACUAUGUUUGCAACUUCUUGUGAAUCCUAAAUUAUUUUAAAAUAAAGAGUAUAA
rnacentral:lncRNA from 10 species